rnacentral:rRNA from 1 species
ACGUGGAUAACCUACCUAUAAGACUGGGAUAACUUCGGGAAACCGGAGCUAAUACCGGAUAACAUAUUGAACCGCAUGGUUCAAUAGUGAAAGGCGGCUUUGCUGUCACUUAUAGAUGGAUCCGCGCCGUAUUAGCUAGUUGGUAAGGUAACGGCUUACCAAGGCAACGAUACGUAGCCGACCUGAGAGGGUGAUCGGCCACACUGGAACUGAGACACGGUCCAGACUCCUACGGGAGGCAGCAGUAGGGAAUCUUCCGCAAUGGGCGAAAGCCUGACGGAGCAACGCCGCGUGAGUGAU